AUUUAUUGCUUUUACCUGUAGCCAACCACCUCCAUGAAAGUGAUGCUCAAAUUGAAAACUGCAAUAAUAUCUUGGCCAAAGAGAGAAGAUUACAGUUUCAUCAGAAAGGGAGAAGUAUGAAUUCCACUGGAUCUGGGAAAAGUAGUGGGACAGUUUCAAGUGUUUCAGAAUUGUUGGAACUUUAUGAGGAAGAUCCUGAAGAAAUUCUUUAUAAUCUUGGAUUUGGACGUGAUGAACCAGAUAUUGCUUCUAAAAUUCCUUCCAGAUUUUUUAAUUCAUCAUCCUUUGCCAAAGGGAUAGAUAUUAAAGUAUUUUUGAGUGCUCAGAUGCAACGGAUGGAAGUAGAAAACCCAAAUUAUGCUUUAACAAGCCGUUUUCGUCAAAUUGAAGUGCUUACUACUGUGGCCAAUGCAUUUUCUUCUUUAUAUUCUCAAGUCUCCGGGACUCCCCUGCAGAGAAUUGGAAGUAUGUCCUCAGUGACCUCUAACAAGGAGACAGACCCACCUCCACCUUUAACUCGAAGUAACACUGCAAAUCGUUUAAUGAAAACACUCUCAAAACUGAAUUUAUGUGUUGAU
rnacentral:sRNA from 1 species